CCUUUGGGGACACUUGCUGAGCCCUUUCCUUGCCCUUUUCUGACUUCCCAGGAAUGUGCCAAGUGCCUGUCAGCUUUGUCCAUUACUUCAGAAAUCACUUGUGGGAGUUACCAAGGACACCAACAACAUCUCAGCACUCUGAUUUUGCAGUUACAGUGUCCUGCAAGAACAGAAUAUUCCCAUCAUUACAGGAGGCUACAGAUUUUGAGGAGAACCUGCUGAGUUCAGCCUGUAGUAACUUUGUGGAUGAGGAUGAGCCCUGCCCACCUUUGCUCCUCACAGCAGUGCUUCAGCCAAGCAGUUGGAGUCCUGACAAUCCAGUGGUCCCAGCCAGGCCAGCACAGCAGCUUAUCAGCUUUUUGGGAGCACAGUUCAGGGGAGAAGAUGCUGCUGUCCAUGACUGCUUCUCAGUGGCUGUGAACAGAUGCUGCACAGGUAGAACUCAUCAGACAAACAUAUUUAGAGUUCUGGCAAGUCCAUGGUAA
ensembl:lncRNA